rnacentral:rRNA from 1 species
GACGAACGCUGGCGGCGUGCUUAACACAUGCAAGUCGAACGAUGAAACCUAGCUUGCUAGGUCGAUUAGUGGCGAACGGGUGAGUAACACGUGACUAACCUGCCCCUUUCUCUGGGAUAACGCUUCGAAAGGAGUGCUAAUACCGGAUACUCACAUCGAGGCACAUGCCUUGAUGUGGAAAGUUUUUCGGAAAGGGAUGGAGUCGCGGCCUAUCAGCUUGUUGGUGAGGUAACGGCUCACCAAGGCGACGACGGGUAGCCGGCCUGAGAGGGGGACCGGCCACACUGGGACUGAAACACGGCCCAGACUCCUACGGGAGGCAGCGGUGGGGAAUAUUGCACAAUGGGCGCAAGCCUGAUGCAGCGACGCCGCGUGAGGGAGGAAGGUCUUCGGAUUGUAAACCUCUUUCAGUAGGGACGAAGCGAAAGUGACGGUACCAAAAGAAGAAGCACCGGCUAACUACGUGCCAGCAGCCGCGGUAA